rnacentral:rRNA from 1 species
GAUGAACGCUGGCGGCGUGCCUAAUACAUGCAAGUCGAGCGAACAGACGAGGAGCUUGCUCCUCUGACGUUAGCGGCGGACGGGUGAGUAACACGUGGAUAACCUACCUAUAAGACUGGGAUCACUUCGGGAAACCGGAGCUAAUACCGGAUAAUAUAUUGAACCGCAUGGUUCAAUAGUGAAAGACGGUUUUGCUGUCACUUAUGGAUGGAUCCGCGCCGCAUUAGCUAGUUGGUAAGGUAACGGCUUACCAAGGCAACGAUGGGUAGCCGGCCUGAGAGGGGUACCGGCCACAGUGGGACUGAGAUACGGCCCAGAGGCGUACGGGAGGGAGCAGUGGGGAAUAUUGCACAAUGGGUGGAAGCGAGAUGCAGCAACGCCGCGUGCGGGAUGACGGCUUUCGGGGUGUAAACCGCUUUCGCCUGUGACGAAGCGUGCGUGAGGGUAAGGGGUAAAGAAGACCCGGAGAGCUACGUG